rnacentral:rRNA from 1 species
AGAGUUUGAUCAUGGCUCAGGAUGAACGCUAGCUACAGGCUUAACACAUGCAAGUCGAGGGGAAACGAUAUUGGAAGCUUGCUUCCGAUAGGCGUCGACCGGCGUACGGGUGAGUAACGCGUAUCCAACCUGCCCACCACUUGGGGAUAACCUUGCGAAAGUAAGACUAAUACCCAAUGAACGUCUCUAGAAGACAUCUGAAAGAGAUUAAAGAUUUAUCGGUGAUGGAUGGGGAUGCGUCUGAUUAGCUUGUUGGCGGGGUAACGGCCCACCAAGGCGACGAUCAGUAGGGGCUCUGGAGAGGAAGGCCCCCCACAUUGGAACUGAGACACAGUCCAAACUCAUACGGGAGGCAGCA